ACAGAACCACUGCUGCAUCACUUUUCUUGUUUUGAUAAGUAGCUAUAUCCCUUGCCAUUUAUAAAGCACUGAAGAGACAUUUGGCAGUGUUACGUCAAGAGCAGGCAACUGUUUAGGAACUGUGCAACCCCAGCAAGUAAGUUGUGUGUCUGUGGAGGGAAUCAGGGGCAGUAUCUUUGCAAUGGCAACCAUUUUGAGCUUCAGUUCAGGCCAGUACAGUCACAGUGCAGGAAAUAUAAUUCAGUAUGGAGAAGAUUUCCAUUCUAUGCACAGAGUGUGUUCUGCUAAAAAGGAAGAAACAAAGCCAUCUUAUUUAUUAAAGGUGUGACACAUACAUAAAGAUUGGGACUUUGCUCUUUCUGCUCUCCCUGAAGACAUGCAGUGCACUUUUAAAAAACCUCAACAGUGGCUGAGUCUACCGUGUUUCUUCCAUUUAAGUAACAGUGGCUUAAGCUGUCACAGAGACAGAGGUGAUACCAGUACUCUGUUGCUCUUCCCCAACAGAAGAUAAGUUUGCAAAUCACCCUGCUAGAUGAGAGAACAGUGGAAAGCUCAUAGAAAGAGAGUAAUAUAUAUAAGUACAUGUCAGAGCAACUACAACUACAGCUUUGCUUCCUCUGUCAGGUUCUUUUCUUCAUUUGGAGAGCGGGCAGUUGCAGGGCAAAGUCAGCAAUAUUGCUGCUCUGGGAUUCAUAGAGAAAACCCCUGUGGAACUCUCAUUCUGUGCUUGAUUGAAGAACAUGGUCACACUUUCAGGGUGACCAGUUUUACAAACAAAAAUGAAAGAAGUGAUUCUACACCCUGGGCCAUAUGAUAAGUGGAAAACCUUGCAAUAAGUCAUUUGAUUCAAGACAGGAACCGGGUCACAGUCUCUGUCUUUGGUUGUCUUCAUGUGAUUACUUGAAUAUGAUCUAAGUGAGAGACAAAGAAAAUAUUUUGUCCCAUCAAAACUGGAGCCAAUCUAUCUUUCAAAAAGUAUUUGAGGAGCAUGCAUAAAAUCCUCUCUGCUGUAGGUUUGCCUCAUGAGCAAUCAUGACAUUUAUCCCCUGUUUUACACUAGUUACUCAUCAUCUUCCUGCAUACACUGAGAUAGUGUAUUUCUGCAGCAGCACCCUUAUCUAGCCAAGAGCAUGACUUGUACAAAGGAGAAGAGGAA